UAGGGAAUCUUCCACAAUGGACGCAAGUCUGAUGGAGCAACGCCGCGUGAGUGAAGAAGGUUUUCGGAUCGUAAAGCUCUGUUGUUGGUGAAGAAGGAUAGAGGCAGUAACUGGUCUUUAUUUGACGGUAAUCAACCAGAAAGUCACGGCUAACUACGUGCCAGCAGCCGCGGUAAUACGUAGGUGGCAAGCGUUGUCCGGAUUUAUUGGGCGUAAAGCGAGCGCAGGCGGAAUGAUAAGUCUGAUGUGAAAGCCCACGGCUCAACCGUGGAACUGCAUCGGAAACUGUCAUUCUUGAGUGCAGAAGAGGAGAGUGGAAUUCCAUGUGUAGCGGUGGAAUGCGUAGAUAUAUGGAAGAACAUCAGUGGCGAAGGCGGCUCUCUGGUCUGCAACUGACGCUGAGGCUCGAAAGCAUGGGUAGCGAACAGG
rnacentral:rRNA from 1 species